AGCGAACGCUGGCGGCGUGCCUAACACAUGCAAAUCGAACGUGAAAAGGGGCAACCCUGAGUAAAGUGGCGUACGGGUGAGUAACACGUAGGUAAUCUACCUCGAAGUCUGGAAUAACCUGCCGAAAGGCGGGCUAAUACUGGAUAGUGCGAUGGAAUCCGUAAUUGGGUUUCUCGGGAAAGGGAGCUCGCAAGAGCCUUCACUUUGAGAUGAGCCUGCGUCCCAUUAGUUAGUUGGUAGGGAAUGGCCUACCAAGGCUUUGAUGGGUAGCUGGUCUGAGAGGAUGAUCAGCCACACUGGAACUGAAACACGGUCCAGACUCCUACGGGAGGCAGCAGUGGGGAAUCUUGCGCAAUGGACGAAAGUCUGACGCAGCCACGCCGCGUGAGUGAAGAAGGCCU
rnacentral:rRNA from 1 species